UACGGAGGGUGCAAGCGUUAUCCGGAUUCACUGGGUUUAAAGGGUGCGUAGGCGGGCAGAUAAGUCAGUGGUGAAAUCCCCGAGCUUAACUUGGGAACUGCCAUUGAUACUAUUUGUCUUGAAUGUCGUGGAGGUUAGCGGAAUAUGUCAUGUAGCGGUGAAAUGCUUAGAUAUGACAUAGAACACCUAUUGCGAAGGCAGCUAACUACGCGGAUAUCGACGCUGGGGCACGAAAGCGUGGGGAUCAAACAGG
rnacentral:rRNA from 1 species